UGCAGCGACGCCGCGUGAGGGAUGACGGCCUUCGGGUUGUAAACCUCUUUCACCCAUGACGAAGCGCAAGUGACGGUAGUGGGAGAAGAAGCACCGGCCAACUACGUGCC
rnacentral:rRNA from 1 species